UGGGGAAUAUUGCACAAUGGGCGAAAGCCUGAUGCAGCGACGCCGCGUGAGGGAUGAAGGCCUUCGGGUUGUAAACCUCUUUCAGCAGGGAAGAAGCGCAAGUGACGGUACCUGCAGAAGAAGCGCCGGCUAACUACGUGCCAGCAGCCGCGGUAAUACGUAGGGCGCAAGCGUUGUCCGGAAUUAUUGGGCGUAAAGAGCUCGUAGGCGGUUUGUCGCGUCUGGUGUGAAAACUCGAGGCUCAACCUCGAGCUUGCAUCGGGUACGGGCAGACUAGAGUGCGGUAGGGGAGACUGGAAUUCCCGGUGUAGCGGUGGAAUGCGCAGAUAUCAGGAGGAACACCGAUGGCGAAGGCAGGUCUCUGGGCCGCAACUGACGCUGAGGAGCGAAAGCAUGGGGAGCGAACA
rnacentral:rRNA from 1 species